rnacentral:snoRNA from 1 species
AAUUCAUGUUGUGGGUAUGGGCAAAGUAAACUUUUAUAUCGUUCCCAAGUCUUUGAAUAGCAUUCUGAGACCAUUUGUUGAAAAGUAGUGAUCUCGUCCCUUAACUU